rnacentral:rRNA from 1 species
UAUCUCUGUAGAGUCUGCAUAUCAAUAAGCGGAGGAAAAGAAACUAACAAGGAUUCCCUUAGUAACGGCGAGUGAAGCGGGAAGAGCUCAAAUUUGGAAUCUUCAAGGUUCUACCUUGACGAAUUGUAGUUUAUAGAAGUGUUUUCUGUUAGUGGAGUGGCAAAAGUUCUUUGGAAUAGGACAUCAUAGAGGGUGAGAAUCCCGUAUUUGGUCAUUCCUCCUAGCGUUGUGAUACACUUUCAACGAGUCGGAUUGUUUGGGAAUGCAGUCCAAAAUGGGUGGUAAAUUUCAUCUAAAGCUAAAUAUUGGCGAGAGACCGAUAGCGAACAAGUACCGUGAGGGAAAGAUGAAAAGAACUUUGAAAAGAGAGUUAAACAGUACGUGAAAUUGUCAAAAGGGAAGCGUUUGACACCAGUGUUGUUUUUCCGAAAAUCAAUUACGAAUGUUUUGUUUUUAAGAAGUUAUGACUUCAUCGGCUUGCUUCUUUCUUUACGAAACUUUCUUAAUGCACUUUUCGGUUAACAAGUCAACAUCAAUUUCUUUUGUUGUAAAAGAGUCAUUGAGGAAGGUGGCUUUUCUUUCGGAGAAAGUGUUUAUAGCCUUGUGCUUCUGCAAUCGGAGAGAUUGAGGUCUGCAGCGUAGAUCCUUCGGGGUUAGAUACAUUUGUGCUAAGCUAUAGUUCUUUCAUAGACAACUUGUUGACUAUAGUCUAGUCCUGUAGCUUACUCGCUUAUGCUAUUUUACCUACGCUUAGGAUGUUGAGUAGCGACAUACGCAC